rnacentral:rRNA from 1 species
GAUGAACGCUGGCGGCGUGCCUAAUACAUGCAAGUCGAGCGAAUGGAUUAAGAGCUUGCUCUUAUGAAGUUAGCGGCGGACGGGUGAGUAACACGUGGGUAACCUGCCCAUAAGACUGGGAUAACUCCGGGAAACCGGGGCUAAUACCGGAUAACAUUUUGAACCGCAUGGUUCGAAAUUGAAAGGCGGCUUCGGCUGUCACUUAUGGAUGGACCCGCGUCGCAUUAGCUAGUUGGUGAGGUAACGGCUCACCAAGGCAACGAUGCGUAGCCGACCUGGGAGGGUGAGCUGCCACACUGGGACUGAGACACGGCCCAGACUCCUACGGGAGGCAGCAGUAGGGAAUCUUCCGCAAUGGACGAAAGUCUGACGGAGCAACGCCGCGUGAGUGACGAAGGCUUUCGGGUCGUAAAACUCUGUUGUUAGGGAAGAACAAGUGCUAGUUGAAUAAGCUGGCACCUUGACGGUACCUAACCAGAAAGCCACGGCUAACUACGUGCCAGCCGCCGCGGUAA